rnacentral:miRNA from 1 species
CUCAGGUCUCAAAGGGACAAAGCAAGAACAGGAAGAAGAGUGGCAUUUUGAAAGGUAAGGCCUUACCCUUCCACUCCAGAGGUGACUUGCUGUCCCCUGUUCCCAAGUGGAAGGGUAAGGCCUUAUCUUUCAAAAUGCCACUCUUCUUCCUGUUCUUGCUUUGUCCCUUCUUCACCUUUGAGU